UCAACUUUGAAUUCCCGUUGAUCCUGCGGGAGAUUGCUGCUAUGGGAGUUCGACUAAGCCAUGCAAGUCAGAGGGUCUCUUCGGAGGCACAGGCUGAAUGCUCAGCAACACGUCAAUAAUCUGCCCUUUGAUCUAGGAUAACCUUGGGAAACUGAGGCUAAAACUGGAUAGGUAAGUUAUACUGGAAUGUUUUCUUACCAAAAGGCAACGUCAAAGGAUGAGUUGGCGGCUGAUUAGGCUGUUGGUAGUGUAAAGGACUACCAAACCUACGAUCAGUACGGGCCGUGAGAGCGGGAGCCCGGAGAAGGGUACUGAGACACUGACCCUAGCCCUACGGGGUGCAGCAGGCGCGAAACCUUUACACUGUACGCAAGUGCGAUAAGGGAACUCCCAGUGCUUAUGCAUUGCAUAGGCUUUUGCCAAGUGUAAAUAACUUGGAGAAUAAGUGGUGGGUAAGACGGGUGCCAGCCGCCGCGGUAACACCUGCGCCACGAGUGGUGAUCAUAUUUAUUGGGCCUAAAGCGUUCGUAGCCGGACAAGCAAGUCUUGGGUGAAAUCGUUGCGCUUAACAAAACGAAUGGCUUGAGAUACUACUAGUCUAGGGACCGGGAGGCGUCAAGGGUAUUUCUGAGGGAGCGGUAAAAUGUUGUAAUCUCAGGAGGACCACCUGUGGCGAAGGCGCUUGACGAGAACGGGUUCGACGGUGAGGAACGAAAGCUAGGGGAGCAAAACGGAUUAGAUUCUGGAUCUUUUGUUUGUUUUAUGUCAAAUUUUAUUUUUUUGUUCGAUAAAAAUUACUGAAUAAAAAUUGAUAGUUAUCAAAAGAACUCCAGCUAAUUACCCGAGUAGUCCUAGCCGUAAACGCUGUGUACUAGAUGUUGCAUAUUUUUCGUGAAUGUGCAGUGUCGGAGCGAAGGUAUUAAGUACACCGCCUGGGAAGUACGGUCGCAAGGCUGAAACUUAAAGGAAUUGGCGGGGGAGCACUACAAGGGGUGCGGCGUGCGGUUUAAUCUAACUUUACGCAGAGAAUCUCACCAGCAGCGACGGCAGGAUGAAGGUCAGAUUGAAUGUCUUACCUAACGAGCCGAGAGGUAUUGCAUGGCCGCCGUCAGCUCGUGCCGUGAGGUGUCCUCUUAAGUGAGGUAACGAGCGAGAUCCAUGCCCAUAAUUGCCAGCGGGUUCUUUAGAAUGUCCGGGCACGUUAUGGGGACUGCUGUGGAAACGCAGAGGAAGGAGUGGGCAACGGUAGGUCUGUAUGGUCCGAAUCUGCUGGGCUACACGCGCGCAACAAUGGCGAGGACAAUGGGAUGCAACGCCGAAAGGCGGAGCUAAACCUCGAAACCUCGUCUUAGUCUAGAUUGAGGGUUGUAAUUCACCCUCAUGACAACGGAAUCCCUAGUAAUCGGGCUUUAUCACGGCCCGGUGAAUAUGUCCCUGCUCCUUGCACACACCGCCCGUCAAACCAACCGAGUUGGGUUUGGGUGAGAUGUAGCUUUCAGUUACAUCGAAUCCAGAUUCGGCGAGGUGGGUUAAGUCGUCACAAGGUAGCCGUAGGGGAACCUACGGCUGGAUCACCUCCUU
rnacentral:rRNA from 1 species